rnacentral:rRNA from 1 species
UACGUAGGGUGCAAGCGUUAAUCGGAAUUACUGGGCGUAAAGCGUGCGCAGGCGGUUUUGUAAGCCCGAUGUGAAAUCCCCGGGCUUAACCUGGGAAUGGCAUUUGGGACUGCAAGGCUUGAGUGCGGCAGAGGAGACUGGAAUUCCUGGUGUAGCAGUGAAAUGCGUAGAUAUCAGGAGGAAUACCGAUGGCGAAGGCAGGUCUCUGGGCUGACACUGACGCUCAUGCACGAAAGCGUGGGGAGCAAACAGG